rnacentral:rRNA from 1 species
AAUUUUGGACAAUGGGCGCAAGCCUGAUCCAGCCAUGCCGCGUGAGUGAGAAGGCCUUCGGGUUGUAAAGCUCUUUCGGACGGAAAGAAAUCGCGCAGGCUAAUACCCUGCGCGGAUGACGGUACCGUCAUAAUAAGCACCGGCUAACUACGUCCCAUCAGCCGCGGUAAUACGUAGGGUGCGAGCGUUAAUCGGAAUUACUGGGCGUAAAGCGUGCGCAGGCGGUUUUGUAAGACAGUGGUGAAAUCCCCGGGCUCAACCUGGGAACUGCCAUUGUGACUGCAAGGCUGGAGUGCGGCAGAGGGGGAUGGAAUUCCGCGUGUAGCAGUGAAAUGCGUAGAUAUAGGAAGGAACACCAGUGGCGAAGGCGACCACCUGGACCGAUACUGACGCUCAUGCACGAAAGCGUGGGUAGCAAACAGG